CAAAGAGCGCAGGGUGGAUGCCUUGGCGCCAAGAGCCGAUGAAGGACGGGGCAAGCACCGAAAUGCCACGGGGAGCCGCAAGCAGGCAUCGAUCCGUGGGUUUCCGAAUGGGGCAACCUACCAUCUUUAAUAGGAUGGUAUCCUUACCUGAACACAUAGGGUAAGGAGGGGCACCGGGGGAACUGAAACAUCUAAGUACCCCGAGGAAAAGAAAUCAACCGAGAUUCCCUCAGUAGCGGCGAGCGAAAGGGGAAGAGCCUAAACCGGUAAAAUGUUAAAGCCCGCAAGCGUUGUUUUACCGGGGUUAUACGGCUUACAGGAGCGAUUGCGGUAGCUCACAGCUGAUGUUAAUCCUAGCCGAAGGUGCUGGAAAGCACCACCAUAGAGAGUGAUAGUCUCGUAGGCGAAAGGUUUAAAUAGGCUGGUAAGUCCGUGAGUACCACGAGACACGUGGAAUCUCGUGGGAAUUUGGGAAGACCACUUUCCAAGGCUAAAUACUCUUGGCGACCGAUAGCGUAUAGUACCGUGAGGGAAAGGUGAAAAGCACCCCGGGAGGGGAGUGAAAUAGAACCUGAAACCGUGCGCUUACAAGCAGUCGGAGGACGUUAAAGUCUGACGGCGUACUUUUUGUAGAACGGACCGGCGAGUUACGAUAACUAGCAAGGUUAAGCAUGUAAGAUGCGAAGCCGCAGGGAAACCGAGUCUUAAAAGGGCGUGUUAGUUAGUUGUCGUAGACCCGAAACCGGGUGAUCUAUUCAUGGCCAGGAUGAAGCUAAGCUAAACCUUAGUGGAGGUCCGAACCCACUGGCGUUGAAAAGUCAGGGGAUGAGCUGUGAAUAGGGGUGAAAAGCCAAUCGAACUCGGAGAUAGCUGGUUCUCCUCGAAAUAGCUUUAGGGCUAGCCUCAAGGUUAAGAAUUAUGGAGGUAGAGCACUGAUUGAGCUAGGGGCCCUGCAAGGUUACCGAACUCUGUCAAACUUCGAAUGCCAUAAUUUGUUCCUUGGGAGUCAGACUAUGUGGGAUAAGCUUCAUAGUCGAGAGGGAAAGAGCCCAGACCGACAGCUAAGGUCCCCAAGUGCGAACUAAGUGGAAAAGGAUGUGGAACUGCACAGACAACCAGGAUGUUGGCUUAGAAGCAGCCAUUCAUUUAAAGAGUGCGUAAUAGCUCACUGGUCAAGUGGUUCUGCGCCGAAAAUGUAACGGGGCUAAGUUCGCCACCGAAGCUUCGGAAGGAAAUUUUAUCCGACUCUUACCUUUAAAAGUCUGGUGAGAGUAUAUUUUACCAAAGUUUUAAAGGUAAGGAUAAAAUUUCCUUGGUAGAGGAGCGUUCCAACAGCACUGAAGGUGACUCGUGAGGGUUGCUGGAGCGGUUGGAAGUGAGAAUGCCGGUAUGAGUAGCGAAAAGAAGGGUGAGAAUCCCUUCCGCCGAAAGCCUAAGGAUUCCUGAGGAAGGUUCGUCCGCUCAGGGUAAGUCGGGACCUAAGGCGAGGCCGAAAGGCGUAGUCGAUGGACAACAGGUUGACAUUCCUGUACCACCGAGCAUCGUUUGAGUGAAGUGGGGACACAGGAGGGUAGGUCAUCACACUGCUGGAAUAGUGUGUCCAAACGUGUAGGAAGCAUGGUAGGCAAAUCCGCCAUGCGUUAAUUCCGAGGCGUGACGGGGAGAGCUUACGAGCUCGAACUGACUGACCCCAUACUGUCGAGAAAAGCCACUAGCGAGAUGUGAGGUGCCCGUACCGCAAACCGACACAGGUAGGCGAGGAGAGAAUCCUAAGGCGCGCGAGAGAACCCCUGUUAAGGAACUCGGCAAAAUGACUCCGUAACUUCGGGAGAAGGAGUGCCUCAUUAGUGUGAAGUCUAUUCAGAUGGAGCAUGAAGAGGCCGCAGAGAAAAGGCCCAAACGACUGUUUAGCAAAAACACAGGUCUCUGCUAAGUGGAAACACGAAGUAUAGGGGCUGACGCCUGCCCAAUGCCGGAAGGUUAAGGGGAGAGGUUAGCGCAAGCGAAGCUUCGAACUUAAGCCCCGGUCAAUGGCGGCCGUAACUAUAACGGUCCUAAGGUAGCGAAAUUCCUUGUCGGGUAAGUUCCGACCUGCACGAAAGGCGCAACGAUUUGGGCGCUGUCUCAACGGGGGACUCGGCGAAAUUGUAUUACCUGUGAAGAUGCAGGUUACCCGCGACAAGACGGAAAGACCCCAUGGAGCUUUACUGUAGCCUGGUAUUGGAUUUUGGUAUGGGUUGUAUAGGAUAGGUGGGAGACUUAGAAGUCGGUACGCCAGUAUCGAUGGAGUCGCCGGUGGAAUACCACUCUUCUCAUGCUAGGGUUCUAACUAGCGGCCGUAAUCCGGUCAUAGGACAGUAUCAGGUGGGCAGUUUGACUGGGGCGGUCGCCUCCUAAAAGGUAACGGAGGCGCCCAAAGGUUCCCUCGGUGCGGAUGGAAAUCGCACGAAAGAGUGUAAAGGCAUAAGGGAGCUUAACUGCGAGACGUACAUGUCGAGCAGAUACGAAAGUAGGGCUUAGUGAUCCGGUGGUUCCGUGUGGAAGGGCCAUCGCUCAACGGAUAAAAGCUACCCUGGGGAUAACAGGCUUAUCUCCCCCAAGAGUUCACAUCGACGGGGAGGUUUGGCACCUCGAUGUCGGCUCGUCGCAUCCUGGAGCUGUAGUAGGUUCCAAGGGUUGGGCUGUUCGCCCAUUAAAGCGGUACGCGAGCUGGGUUCAGAACGUCGUGAGACAGUUCGGUCCCUAUCUGUCGCGGGCGCAGGAGAUUUGAGAGGAGCUGUCCCUAGUACGAGAGGACCGGGAUGGACGCACCACUGGAGUACCAGUUGUACCGCCAGGUGCACGGCUGGAUAACCAAGUGCGGAACGGAUAAGCGCUGAAAGCAUCUAAGUGCGAAGCCGCCCUCAAGAAGAGAUCUCCCACAGAGUUAAUCUGGUAAGACCCCUCAUAGAUGAUGAGGUUGAUAGGCCAGGUGUGUAAGGGCAGUAAUGCCUUUAGCUGACUGGUACUAAUAGGUCGAGGACUUGACCU
rnacentral:rRNA from 1 species